rnacentral:rRNA from 1 species
GGGGAUUGCCCUAGUAACGGCGAGUGAAGCGGCAACAGCUCAAAUUUGAAAUCUGGCUCUUUCAGAGUCCGAGUUGUAAUUUGCAGAGGGCGCUUUGGCGUUGGCAGCGGUCCAAGUUCUUUGGAACAGGACGUCACAGAGGGUGAGAAUCCCGUACGUGGUCGCUAGCCUUCGCCGUGUAAAGCCCCUUCGACGAGUCGAGUUGUUUGGGAAUGCAGCUCUAAAUGGGAGGUAAAUUUCUUCUAAAGCUAAAUACUGGCCAGAGACCGAUAGCGCACAAGUAGAGUGAUCGAAAGAUGAAAAGCACUUUGGAAAGAGAGUCAAAUAGCACGUGAAAUUGUUGAAAGGGAAGCGCUUGCAGCCAGACUUGCCUGUAGUUGCUUAUCUGGACUUUUGUCCGGUGCACUCUUCUGCGGGCAGGCCAGCAUCAGUUUGGGCGGUUGGAUAAAGGUCUCUGUCAUGUACCUCCUUUCGGGGAGGCCUUAUAGGGGAGACGACAUGCAACCAGCCUGGACUGAGGUCCGCGCAUCUGCUAGGAUGCUGGCGUAAUGGCUGUAAGCGGCCCGUCUUGAAACACGGACCAAGGAGUCUAACAUCUAUGCGAGUGUUUGGGUGUCAAGCCCAGACGCGUAAUGAAAGUGAACGGAGGUGGGAACCCUUUGGGUGCACCAUCGACCGAUCCUGAUGUCUUCGGAUGGAUUUGAGUAAGAGCAUGGCUGUUGGGACCCGAAAGAUGGUGAACUAUGCUUGAAUAGGGUGAAGCCAGAGGAAACUCUGGUGGAGGCUCGCAGCGGUUCUGACGUGCAAAUCGAUCGUCAAAUUUGGGCAUAGGGG